rnacentral:rRNA from 1 species
GACGAACGCUGGCGGCGUGCCUAAUACAUGCAAGUAGGACGCAGUUGCGAACGGGUGAGUAACGCGUAGGUAACUACCUAUUAGAGGGGGAUAACUAUUGUAAACGAUAGCUAAUACCGCAUACUAGUAGAUUGACCUGCGUUGUAUUAGCUCGUAUGUAGGGUAAUGGCCUACCUAGGCAACGAUACAUAGCCGGGCUUGGAGGGUGGUCGGCCAAACCUGGACUGAGGCACCGGCCAGACUCCUACCGGAGGGAGCAGGAGGGAAUCUUCGGCAAUGGGGGGAACCCUGACCGAGGAACGCCGCGGGAGUGAAGAAGGGUUUCGGAUCGUAAAACUAUGUUGUUAGAGGAGCGGUACUUAACCAGAAAGGGACGGCUAACUACGUGCCAGCAGCCGCGGUAAUUC